rnacentral:misc_RNA from 1 species
UGGGCUUCCGUAACAUCCUCACCUUCGACGACAAAGAUAUUUCGACGGAGUACUCAGCGUUGAUGAGCAAGGUGAUGAGUAACGGAAACGGCUUCGUCAAGUUUCCGAUUAACGAGCCAGCGGAAGGCAAAAAGAAAUCACAAGUGGAAGAAUACCUCGACUUUUACGAUGGCGAAGGCGUGCAGCACAUCGCAAUGGCGGCAAACAACAUCAUUGAAACGGUGACCGAUCUUCAGAAUCGCGGACUAGAGUUCCUUAAAGUGCCUUCGAGUUAUUACGACACGCUGCUCGAUCGCGUGGGUCA